GCAGGUGACACAGUGACAGAGUUAGGAGGGAGUGACUAGUGACAGAGGGAUGGGGUGACUAGUGGCAGAGUGAGGGAAGGAAGGGGUGACUAGUGACAGAGUGAGGGAGGUGGUGACUGUCACUAGUCACCACCUCCCUCCCUCUGUCACUACUCCCUCCCUCCUUCUGUCACUAGUCACGCCCUCCCUCACUCUGUCACAUGUCAUCCCCUCCCUCACUCUGUCACCAGUCAUCCCCUUCCCUCACUCUGUCACUAGUCACCCCCUCCCCUCCCUCACUCUGUCACUAGUCACC